rnacentral:rRNA from 1 species
AGAAUCAACGCUGGCGGCAUGCCUAAUACAUGCAAGUCGAACGCGAAAGUCCCGCAAGGGAUGAGUAGAGUGGCAAACGGGUGAAUAACACGUGGGUGACCUGCCUUCGAGCGGGGGAUAACGUCCCGAAAGGGACGCUAAUACCGCAUGACAUCCUGCCUUUGAAGAGGUGGAGAUCAAAGCUGGGGAUCGCAAGACCUGGCACUUGAAGAGGGGCCCGCGUCUGAUUAGCUAGUUGGUGGGGUAACGGCUCACCAAGGCAACGAUCAGUA